CUCUGAUCUGUUUGUGGGUGCUAGUGCCUAAUGAGAUUAACAUUACAAAAUCCAGCCAUUGAAAUUACUUUUAGUGUGAGGUUAGAUUAUACAAUAAACUCUUAGAUUUCCCUUUAUUGGAUAUAAAUUAUUUCUCCAGAAUCCUAACAAUAAUCUGUUAUGCGUAUAUACACAUUGUGGUUAUUCCUGUGAGAGAAUAUGCACUAUAAAAAAACACAACAGCAAUAUUGUGAAUGAGCUCCUGUUUGUGGAUAUACGUUGUGAUGUCACCAGUACAGAAUCCAGCCACUGAGCUCUUGUAAGUGAAUGCUCAACAUGUGAAGUCAGCAUUGCAACAAUUCAUCUCUUUGAUUCAGUCAGUUCAUCUCAUGUGAUUGAAUGUAAAGUGUGAGAUUGGCUUUGCAUAAUCUUGUCACUUGUGGAUGUACAUUGUGAGGUUAACAUUGCAGAUGAAUGAUACAUGACUGUAAACAGUGCCGGCGCAAGGAUAUUUGGCUACACAGAUGAGGAUGUAUUUUGUCUGUUCCAAAAUACAUCUUUGUUGGUCUUUUACAGUUACUCCAUAAGAAAGUAUUGAAAUAAAGCUUUCCUAUGCAUCUUUAAACACUCUUUUAAAAAUCGUUUCCUCUCUAAUGUGAUAGAUACAUUUUUAAAAUUUUAUUUAUGUCAAACUGUAACACAAUUUUUAGCACUGAUAUAUAAUGUGGAAAAGGUUAUGAUAACUUUUACUUUAAUAAUUUUUAGAAGCAAAGUGUGUAUAUAGGUAGAUUAAUUUGGUUAUGGAUAAUAUCAUAUCAAUAAAUUCAUAGGCUUGUGCAGCAUAUUUUGCCUACCUACAUCUUCAUUUUCUUUAUUCUAAUGUCUUUCAUAAUCCUACCCAUUUUCUAAAGCGUAGUCCUACAUUAUUUCAUACAAUUAAUUUAAUUAGUACAUUGUAACCAUAUAACCACACACAUUCCAUCCCAUCUUUGGUGAUCAUUUUAGCACAAUUUAAAAAAUUGUCUCAUAGUGUAAAGUGCAGCAUUUAAAGCAGUUAACAAUUUUUUUUUUUAGAAAUUCCUAUGAGCUCCAUGUCCUAUAUAAUCAACCAUUGUGUUGUUACAUUAAUGAUUGCAACAUACGUAGCUACAUUUAUAGAGAAUUAUAAGGAUUUUCAGUUUAACAAGCUACAUUCUUGAUACAGCGCACAUUUUGUAAGGAUGUGGACUGAGUGUAAAUGCAAGUUGGCCAUCCUCCCUUGGACGAGGUUCUUUGUCGGGUAUCUCGAAUUUAAACUGCUGCAUGAGUGAUGUAAAGAAUAAGAAAAGUUCCAUUCUCGCAAGACUCUCUCCCAGGCAGACCCGCCGACCU